UACGAAGGGGGCUAGCGUUGUUCGGAAUUACUGGGCGUAAAGCGCACGUAGGCGGAUAUUUAAGUCAGGGGUGAAAUCCCAGAGCUCAACUCUGGAACUGCCUUUGAUACUGGGUAUCUUGAGUAUGGAAGAGGUAAGUGGAAUUGCGAGUGUAGAGGUGAAAAUUCGUAGAUAUUCGCAGGAACACCAGUGGCGAAGGCGGCUUACUGGUCCAUAACUGACGCUGAGGUGCGAAAAGCGUGGGGAGCAAACAGG
rnacentral:rRNA from 1 species